rnacentral:rRNA from 1 species
UAACACGUGGGUAACCUGCCCAAGAGACUGGGAUAACACCUGGAAACAGAUGCUAAUACCGGAUAACAAAACUAGACGCAUGUCUAGAGUUUAAAAGAUGGUUCUGCUAUCACUCUUGGAUGGACCUGCGGUGCAUUAGCUAGUUGGUAAGGUAACGGCUUACCAAGGCAAUGAUGCAUAGCCGAGUUGAGAGACUGAUCGGCCACAUUGGGACUGAGACACGGCCCAAACUCCUACGGAAGGCAGCAG